AUGAGAAUUUUGGGGUCUGGGGGAAAAUGUGGGGGCCCCAGCCCUGCUUUGGGGUCAAAGUUGGGAUUUUGGGGUCAGGGUCGGGAUUUGGGGUCAGAAAUGGGGAUUUUGGGGUCCUGGCCCCAAUUUGGGGUCAAAGUUGGGAUUUGGGAAGGAAAUUUGGGAUGCUGGGGGAUGAGGAUCAGGAUUUGGGGUAGAAAAAGGGGAUUUUGGGGUCCCGGCCCCGAUUUGGGUUUAGAGUUGGGAUUUGGGGGUCAAAAAUGGGGAUUUUGGGGACCUGGCCAUGAUUGGGGUCAAAGUUGGGACUUCGGGGUUAAAGUCGGGAUUUUGGGGGGGUUGGGUCAGGAUUUGGGUUCAAAGUCAGGAAUUUUAGGAUCAGGACUGGGAUUUUGGGGUCAAGGGGCGGAUUUGGGGGUCAUGGUUGGGAUUUGGGGUCAGGGCUGGGAUUUUGGGGUCAAAAAUGGGGAUUUUGGGGUCAGGGCUGGGAUUUGGGGUCAGGGCUGGGAUUUGGGGGUCGAGGGGUGGAUUUGGGGGUCAUGGUUGGGAUUUGGGGGUCAGGGCUGGGAUUUUGGGGUCAUGGUUGGGAUUUGUGGUCAGGGCUGGGAUUUGGGGGUCACGGGGUGGAUUUUGGGGUCAGGGUCCGGAUUUGGGGUCAGGGCUGGGAUUUGGGGGUCAAGGGGCGGAUUUGGGGGUCAGGGCCUGGAUUUGGGGUCAGGGCUGGGAUUUUGCGGUCAUGGUUGGGAUUUGGGGUCAGGGCUGGGAUUCUGGGGUCAAGGGGCGGAUUUUGGGGUCAGGACUGGAUUUUGGGGUCAGGGCUGGGAUUUAGGGUCAGGGCUGGGAUUUGGGGUCAGGGCUGGGAUUUUGGGGUCAAGGGGCGGAUUUUGGGGUCAGAGCCUGGAUUUGGGGUCAGGGCUGGGAUUUUGCGGUCAAGGGGCGGAAUUUGAGGUCAUGGUUGGGAUUUGGGGUCAUGGUUGGGAUUCUGGGGUCCGGGCUGGGAUUUUGGGGUCAGGGCUGGGAUUUUGGGGUCAGGGCUGGGAUUCUGGGGUCAAGGGGUGGAUUUUGAGGUCAGGGCUGGAUUUUGAGGUCAGGGCUGGGAUUUCGGGUCAGGGCUGGGAUUUGGGGUCAAGGGGUGGGAUUUGGGGGUCAAGGAGUGGAUUUUGGGGUCAGAGCUGGGAUUUGGGGUCAGGGCUGGGAUUUGGGGUCAAACCCGGAGGCACCGCUCCCCGCCCUGGGCUUUGGUGGCUCCCCCCGUGGUGCAAAGCCGAGUUCAGGGGGGAACAAAUGGGAGAGAACGGGAGGAAGAGGGAAAACGGGGCAGGGGGAAACAUGGUUCUAUGA
rnacentral:lncRNA from 1 species